GGACAAGAAGCAAAGCUCGAAAAGCACAGAAAGAUCACCAUUCCGUCCAGUUAACUCUAACCAUUCAAAAGAAAGAAAUACAGAUUCCACAUCUUUGGCGUGUCCCAUCCCCUGAAGAUGCCAUUGCUUCCGUUCCUUCCACGCGUGGUUCGAAAAUUUCUCUACUUCCUUUGGCAUGACACCCGCGCGGUCCUCCGGAAACGGUCGACAUUCGCGAACCGGAUUUCCGGGCAAGUAUAAAGCGGCGCUCUGGAAGCGUUCGCGAGUAUGCGACAACUUUCCUUCCGGCGCUUGCGGUGUCAUUUCCGUUAAUGGAGGAUCCUCGGUCCCUUCCAUCAGGCACGUCCGAAAAAAAAAGAAAGAAAAAACAAAACAGAAGAAAAUGAGAGAGAAAAGAAUUUAAACAAAAUAUCGCACGAGCGUGCGCGGCCGUAUAACGAGGGCGAUACACUCUCCGAUUUCGCGUCCAACGGUUUCUGAGGGCCUGCACCUUUUGCGUCUUGUCCGAGUGUUGUUGGGAGAAGCAAAAUCCGCGGAUUUCUCAUAUUUCUGACAUGCUGUCGUGUGUAGGCGCGCUACGCGUCGCUUUGUGACACAUUCCUUUCUUCCCUUCACGUGACCAUUCCAUCUCCGAAACGAUAUUAAAGGGGCCGACAGAUGCAGUAUAUCACACAUGUGGUACAGAAGUUAUAUAAACAGAAAUAAAGUGCCUCUGAAGGCUGGUGAACCUUUCGACGGGUGGACGUAUCUUCUGUCUUCGACAAAGAUUUGUCCACUUAUAGGAACAUCGGCCAGCCUUCCGAGGCACUUUAUCCCUUUGAAAUUAUGUAACUUCUAUCUCUCAGAAGCAAUAAGAGAUGUGUGAAAGGUACAGAAGAUAUCGCCUCGGCCAGCUAGUUUACUCUGGACUAUACCACUGCUGAUGUACUAUGCACCUUUCAUCGCUUCUUACAUGCCGUCCUCCCAAAGCAACGGGUAAUAUAAAACGAAUAGGAAAAAGGUGUAGACAGUAAAAAAAAAAAAAAAAGCAACAGUAAGUUACAAAGCACCCUAGUGAAAGCGGUGCUUUAAAUACGACGCGAUUUCACUUACGAGGAUGACAUGGAUAUUGCGAAGGGAAUAUAUAUAUAUAUAUAUAUAUAUAUAUAUAUAUAUAUGUGUGUGUGUGU